rnacentral:rRNA from 1 species
GAUGAACGCUGGCGGCGUGCCUAAUACAUGCAAGUCGAGCGAACAGAUGAGGAGCUUGCUCCCCUGACGUUAGCGGCGGACGGGUGAGUAACACGUGGAUAACCUACCUAUAAGACUGGGAUAACUUCGGGAAACCGGAGCUAAUACCGGAUAAUAUAUUGAACCGCAUGGUUCAAUAGUGAAAGACGGUUUUGCUGUCACUUAUAGAUGGAUCCGCGCCGCAUUAGCUAGUUGGUAAGGUAACGGCUUACCAAGGCAACGAUGCGUAGCCGACCUGAGAGGGUGAUCGGCCACACUGGAACUGAGACACGGUCCAGACUCCUACGGGAGGCAGCAGUAGGGAAUCUUCCGCAAUGGGCGAAAGCAUGACGGAGCAACGCCGCGUGAGUGAUGAAGGUCUUCGGAUCGUAAAACUCUGUUAUUAGGGAAGAACAAAUGUGUAAGUAACUAUGCACGUAUUGACGGUACCUAAUCAGAAAGCCACGGCUAACUACGUG